rnacentral:rRNA from 1 species
UACGGAGGUGGCAGGCGUUACUCGGAUUGAUUGGGUGUAAAGGGCAUGUAGGCGGUGCGUUAAGUCGAAUGUGAAAUCCCUUGGCUCAACCAAGGAACUGCAUUCGAAACUGACGUGCUUGAGUGAUGGAGAGGAAAGCGGAAUUCCCGGUGUAACAGUGAAAUGUGUAGAUAUCGGGAGGAACACCAGUGGCGAAGGCGGCUUUCUGGACAUCUACUGACGCUGAAAUGCGAGAGCUAGGGGAG